AGUGAACGCUGGCGGUAGGCCUAACACAUGCAAGUCGAACGGCAGCACAGGAGAGCUUGCUCUCUGGGUGGCGAGUGGCGGACGGGUGAGGAAUACAUCGGAAUCUACUCUGUCGUGGGGGAUAACGUAGGGAAACUUACGCUAAUACCGCAUACGACCUACGGGUGAAAGCAGGGGACCUUCGGGCCUUGCGCGAUUGAAUGAGCCGAUGUCGGAUUAGCUAGUUGGCGGGGUAAAGGCCCACCAAGGCGACGAUCCGUAGCUGGUCUGAGAGGAUGAACAGCCACACUGGAACUGAGACACGGUCCAGACUCCUACGGGAGGCAGCAGUGGGGAAUAUUGGACAAUGGGCGCAAGCCUGAUCCAGCCAUACCGCGUGGGGGAAGAAGGCCUUCGGGUUGUAAAGCCCUUUUGUUGGGAAAGAAAUCCAGCUGGCUAAUACCCGGUUGGGAUGACGGUACCCAAAGAAUAAGCACCGGCUAACUUCGUGCCAGCAGCCGCCGUAA
rnacentral:rRNA from 1 species